UCAUUUCCAAGCUUUUGAGAGCCAAGAGACCCCUAUUGCAAUAUGAAAUUUUCCAGAAAAAUGCAACUAUCGUGUUUUGAAUUCCAGGUUAUUUCAAUCCAAUUUAGAAUCUUCGGCCUCCUCUGAAGCUUUUGAAAUAAUUACCAAGAUCUGACACCUUCUGAAGUGCUCUAACCACAUCGAGCUUCAUCAACCUUUGAUCACCAUUUGGACAAGGUAGUUCUGAGCACCAUUUGAACUCUAACAAGUUACCGCAAUGUAGUC
rnacentral:lncRNA from 1 species